CUUCAAAAUGCCGAAAGGCAAGGCAAACGCAAAUGCCACAACCCACCUCUCGACUCGCCGCCGCAGCCGCAUGACACCCACCGUCGGCUGGCCAUCCCCUCGGGUCGCCACCCCCUUCGGCCGCUGCCUCACAGCUCGCUGCAUCGUCAGUCUCGGCCUCCACAACCACCAAGUCCUCCUAUCCCGCUUUGCCGCCGCCUUCAAUGCCCUCGCGUCCCCGUCCCGCAACGCCGCCGCCGCCAGCCGGCCAUCCGUUGCGCUCGCCACUCUCCUCGGGCGCUGCUGCACCGUGCGCUGCCUCGCCCAGCUCCACGCCCGCAUCAUCCUACUCGGUCUCCACAACCACCACGCCCUCCUCGCCCGCUUCACCACCGCCUGCGAUGCCCUCGAAUGCCCCUCCGUCGCCGCCUCUUUCAUCGCCGCGCUUACCGACUCCCACGCCGCCCCGCUCCGCCUCCGCAACGCCGUGCUCGCGUCCCUCGCCCGCCACGCCCCGCUCCACGCCGCGCUCACGGAGUUCAACCUCCUCCGACAGGCCGCGCUCCCGGACUCUUUUUCCUUCCCUUGCCUCCUCCGCGCGUGCGCCCGCGUAUCCUGCCUCCCCGCUGGACGAGCCCUGCACGCCGCCGCUAUCCGCCUUGGCGUGCACGCCGAUCUCUUCAUCCGCACUGCGCUCAUCCAGUUCUACGGCAGGUGCGGCGUGGCCGACGCGGCCCGGGCGCUAUUUUAUCAAAUCGACAUCCCCAGUGAGGUUUCCUGGACCGCCAUUAUCGUUGCCUACGUCAACAAUGGUGGCAUCAUAGACGCUAGAGCUCUGUUUGAUACAAUGCCUCAAAGGAACGUGGUGCACUGGAAUGUGAUGGUCGAUGGUUACGUAAAGUGUGGGGACUUGGAGGGCGCAAGGAGGCUGUUUGAUGAAAUGCCUGAGAGAACUGCUACAGCAUGCACAUCUUUGAUUGGUGGGUAUGCAAAGGCAGGGAACAUGGAAGCUGCGAGAUUGUUGUUUGAUAAGUUAGAGGACCGUGAUGUGUUCUCAUGGUCAGCGAUGAUAUCAGGUUAUGCACAGAAUGGUUACCCUGGCGAGGCUUUGAGGACUUUUGAUGAGUUCCAAGGGCAAGGCAUACACCCAGACGAACUUGUUGUGGUUGGCCUGAUGUCUGCAUGCUCCCAACUAGGUAACAUCAGGUUGGCAAGUUGGAUUGAAGAUUACAUCACAAAGUACUCUAUAGAUAUGAACAAUGCUCAUGUGUUGGCUGGUCUUGUGAACAUGAAUGCAAAGUGUGGGAACUUGGAGAGGGCUACUUUUUUGUUUGAGUCUAUGCCAGUUCGAGAUGUGUUUUCAUAUUGUUCACUGAUGCAAGGUUACUGCCUCCAUGGUUCAGCUGACAAGGCUGUUAAGCUUUUCUCUCGGAUGCUUUUGGAGGGACUCACCCCUGACAAUGCUGUGUUUACAAUUGUUUUAACAGCUUGCUGUCAUGCUGGUCUAGUAGAAGAAGGGAAGAAGUUCUUUGAUAUAAUGAAGAAUGUGUACUUGAUGGUGCCAUCUGGUGAGCAUUAUGCUUGCCUUGUCAAUCUUCUUGGACGUUGUGGUAUGCUAGAAGAUGCAUAUUGGCUUAUCAUGUCGAUGCCCGGGAAACCUCAUCCUGGAGCAUGGGGUGCACUGUUGGGUGGAUGCAAGCUUCACUGUAAUAUAGAGCUUGGAAAAAUUGCAGCAAAAAAACUUUUUGAAAUUGAACCGGAUAAUGCUGGAAAUUAUGUCUCCCUGUCAAAUAUGUAUGCUAACAUUGACAGGUGGGGAGAUGUUUCUGAAGUUAGGGCUGAGAUGACUGGAAAGAGAAUAACCAAAAUAGCAGGGCGUACCCUAGUUUUGCAGUGAAGCAGUGUUGACCAGAAUGGUGUAUUUAUCUUGUACCAUGUUACUGGCCCCCAUUGAAAACUUGAGGCUGUGAAUAAACGUAAAAUGAGAUAUCAUGCUCAAUGCAUAUGGUGGAAGUCAUCAUAUGGUGAUAUAGAUUUGGUGGUCAACAGGCUGAGUUCAUACACUGGAAACCUUUUUCUCAAAUACACAGGGGAGCUGCGUACCAUUGGAUUGAGAAGAACACCUAAGUACAAAAACAAAAAGACCACCACACCAACACAGCCGUACCAAAUACACACACAUACACUCAAACCCAACCUCAUAGGUGGCAUACAUCUGGACCGAGUUAAGACACUUCCAUUAGCUUAGAGUUCACAUUGCCAGACUCAGCUGGGUGGAUGCUUUGAUUUUUGGUAUUGUGAAAGAUCAGGGUGCUUCUGUACAAAUGUUGGAAUAUGGGCCUGAUUAAGACACAGAGUUUUGACAUUUGCUGUUAAGCGUCCUCUUUCCUUCUCAACGUCGGCCAGCUGUUUGGCGCGCUCCUGCGCACGGCACACGUCCCUGGCUCGGCGACGCCUGGUGUACGUGCGCCCGAACAUGACAGCACUCUAACAUGUUUGUGCCAGUGUGAUAACUGCAUGACUGAGAUAUUGAUAGGGCCUAAGCUUUUUCUUAAGCAGCUUUUGCUAGCUGCCUAGAGUCUAGAGAAGCAACUUGCUGCAGAAGUUGAUGAAAUGAAAACCUAUGUGUUUGGCAACCUGGCUUUUCUAUGUCUUUUUCAUGCGUGUCCUCCUUUGGGACCCUCGUGUCACAGCCUGUACCAGAGGACUGAAGGCGCCAUUCUCUCCAGAGCUGCAGAGGCAGCAUCCAAGCCUGGUUUCUCUUUUCUUGCCCUUCUACCACUGAUCCCUCUGAUCCAAUCUCACUGCGUGCUGCUGCCAGGUCAAAUCAAUGUCUACCUCGUGCCCUCUACCGCACACCUGAUCGUGCUUCCCUGGCCGCUGUCUCCCCUUCUUAGCCCCCAUGGAGGCAGAAAUUGGGCUGACACUGACAGGGCCUGCACCAGUCUAGAGGCUGCUCAGCUCCUGCCGCCACCAUGGAGGGGAUCUCAUCAAAGGAGAGCUGAGGGACACAGAAGGGGUAGUGGGCGGAGGUUGAGUGCGUAUGGAGGGAGGUGCAGCGAAGAAGCUGAGGCUGAGCCAUGGACAGAAAAAGCUGCUCGCUCAGUCACCCUGCGCUUUAGAGGAACAUGGUUUGUCAGUAGAAAUUGGAGACAUGCUGGGCCAUUGUCAAGUUCAUGGGUGAAGAAUUGAAAACUGUUAGUUCCUGUAAUCAUAGUGAGAUACAAAAUAAUGUUCACAAUCUUUUCUGAUUACUGUCACGUUUGAAAAAUCUGAAGGCACACCUAGUAUUGUUAUCUGUCAAGGCUAAGACCAAUGAUGUGGUAGUUUCAGGCUUUCAGUUCUGGAAAUAGGCUUGAAAAAUAUGAAUUGUUGAUUUACUCUAUGUCAUACUCAUAGAAGUGUAGUGCCUGUUUAGUUCAUAUACAGUUCUGUCAAAAGAUCUCGAUGUGCUCAGUUCAAACUCUUCAUAAGAUGAGCUCAUGCCCAGACCCAAGCUCAUGGGCCUCAUUAUAUUGAACUUUAUUUGUGUGGUUAAGGCUUGAUUCAGUCCUUAGUUUAACCCAAGACAUGAUGUAUCCAUCCCAAAAUUUUGAGCUGACAGCUAAGAACGAGAUCAUUCUGCUCAUCUUUGUCCAAAGCUUGUAUAUAAACAACUAUGUUGAAAUAUAA